rnacentral:lncRNA from 1 species
AAAGUCCCUAGACUUAACCAUUUUCAAGUGACAAAGCCACCAAUCAAAUCACAUUCAAAACAAAAAAAUUCCGCUUCAAAGUCCCUAGACUGAACUAUUUUCAACCAACUAAGUCACCUAACAAACCACAUUCUAAACAAAAAAAAUUCCCUUCAAAGUCCCUAUAUGUAACCAUUUUCAAGUGACUAAUCCACCAACCAAACCACAUUCUAAAAA